rnacentral:ncRNA from 1 species
AUAUAUUGUUAAAAUCGAUAACGGCCGUCACCGGGCUGCUAUGCAGUACCUAAGUUUUUACAUAUAAGUGAUGUUAUUUUAUUGUGAUAAUUCAAUAAAGCACCAUUCGUGCGCGUCACUAUUAGAACGACGAAAGCCGGCACUCCUUGGAGUGUCCUGCAAAUACCGAAUCUAGCCAAAUGCCUCGUCAUCUAAUUAGUGACGCGUAUGAAUGGAUCAACAAGAUUCCUUCUGUCCCUAUCUACUAUCUAGCGAAACCACAGCCAAGGGAACGGGCUUGGCAAAAUCAGCGGGGAAAGAAGACCCUGUUGAGCUUGACUCUAGUCUGACUCUGUGAA